GAGAGAAAGAAGCCCACACCAAGGGUUGUCCCAGGCUCCCGGUGUGUUUGCUACUGCCUGCUGCACAGAGUUCCGACAGGGUCCUCCCUUAACAAGCAAAGAGGAAAAUCAUCUCUGUUGCGAUGCCAGUGUGACUCGGCAAAGUUGCAUCUAGCGUGCGCGUCUGUCCUGGCUGAGGGGGGCUGAGAGAGGCUUUGCUGCCCUUUUCCCCCUUGAAUACGAGUUUCUCGUGACUUUCCACCACCCUGAACUCACAAUGAUCCGUCAAGGACCUUCUCCUAUUUCCCUCCCAGCACCAUCCUAAUUUCCUCCCUUCAGUGGCUUCUCUCCUCUUCAUGAUCACUUUAUCCCUUCCUGGACCAGAGGAAAUAACGAGAGACAGUGCCUCCUCCGCUGAAAAUCCACAGCCAGGCAUGGACCCCUCCUCACCACCUCCUACUAUGGUACUUAAAGACCUCACCAUGAAAAACUGGAUUGCAUAAAGGACUGCUCCUGGACAGAGACCCCUGGCUUGUUAUAUUUGCACAACUGGACAGUUUUCAUGGCAUAGAUUGGAUGGACUCUGUCAGUGACAGGAGGCAAUGUCCCUCCUGAAGGAGGGAAGGGAGUCUCUUCACUAGCAAAUACUCCAGUUUCUCAGCCAUUGGGGAAAAAAAAAAAGAUCCUGUGAUUCCAACCAUGGAACUGCUACUCAAAACAACUGCAAGAAAGAGGAAGUAGAGACCACGCGAGGUAUUUCCGUGUAAGACUGUUCCACCUUGAGAAAAGAAGCAAAAUGUGGAAAUGGGUCCUUGGCUGGAGAAUGGAUUAAAGAGUCUUUGGUCUCUUUCUGAAUUGUGCUACUUAAUUUAUCAUCACCACCAUCAUCAUCAUCUUUGUUGUCAUCAUCUCCAUCAACCGUGCUUCCUACAUGCCAGAAGUGUUGUGUUCCCUGGUUGAUCUCAUUUAAUUCUUCUGACAGCAAUAUGAGAGAUUUUGCAAUACUAAUGACAAAGAAAGCCUGGUGGAAUCACCUACUGGGAAGGCAGUGGUCCAGCUUUGGGUAAAUCUGAUUCAUUUACUCAGCAAAUAUUUAUGGAGCACUUACCAUGUGCUGUCAGGUUGUUGGGAUACAUCCGUUAACAAGAAGGAAGAAGAUUCCUGUCCUUAUUCUAGCAAAGAAAGCAGGAUUCAAAGCACUUCCUCUUAAGUAAUAGGCCUUGGCAGCUAUGCAGAGCAUUGCAGUGAGAAGCUGCUGUCUUGGGGGAGCUUUACUGCUUUUGGAGAUUUAAUACUGAUCUUGAACUUGAGGUGUGUCUGCAUGAACUUCUAUGCACCAGAAACUUUCAUUUCAAUGCUGAAAUGUGGGGUAAGAUUUUGGUGAAAUUUUAAACAAAUUUAGGGAACUACCUUAAGUAAAUUCAACCAGGUAUCACAUGCAGUCUUACUUUGGAAUUGUGAAAAAAAAAUAAUAAUAAGAGUGGAAAUAUGGAAAGAGAAUGCAAUAGCUACAACAGCAUAAACAUUGACUAUUAAGAAUCAAAAUAAUAUUCAUAAAAAAUAUUCAUUAAGUUAGGUGUCAACAUUUGUAAGAAAUGCACUGUUCCUGGCUUCGAGGUGGAAGAAGGCCGCCACAAGCUAAGGAAUGUGGGCCGCAUCUAGAAGCUGGAAAAGGCAAGAAAACAGUCUCCUCUAGAGCCUCUAGAAGGAAUACAGUCCUGGUGACACCUUGGUCUUGGCCCAGUGAGACCCAUAUCAGAUUUCUAACCUACAGAACUAUAAGAUAGUACAUUUAUGUUUUCUUAAGCCACUAGGUGUGUAAUCAUUUGUUACAACAGCCACAGGAAAGGAAUGCAUGUAUGGUUCUCUACAUUUUUGGUCUCUGCAGAGACAGGGUGGAUGGGGCCAGGAGACUAGCUCUGGCACUUAGAAUGGGGGAUGGGUGUGAUUUGCCCCCUACCUGGGCAAUGUGCCAUGACCUCUCUCUCUGGUGGUUGGACAGCUGAAUGCAGAGGGUCAGUAGAGGGUCAAGGAGGCUCUAGUGGAUGGCAGAGUCGCUGUUUGCAAGGAGCCUUGAAUCUGAAGUCACCACUUGAAAGAGUGUUGCCUCUGGGAGCUGCCCCAACCAAAUGCAUGAGUCUUAAUCCCCUGAGUUCCCAGAGUUCAUUUUUCCCUGCAGCAGAGCUGCUUCUAGUCUAACUCCAGAAUCUCCAAAUCAGAUUAUUUUUUCUUUUUAAAAAAUUUUUAAAGAGUUUUUUUUCUUUUUUUUUUUUUAAGGGAUCAAACUUCUACAUGGGCAAAGUCAGAACUUUGUUGGGCUUCCUUAGCCUUAGUUUGUAAUUCAGUCUUUUUAAAAUUUCACGUAGCACAUGGAGAGCAUUGUAAUCAAAUUUCUAUACUUAGGGCUUGUGACGGUCUUAAACCAGUGCUACUUUCUUGGCCACGGAGGCACCCACAGCCUCACAGUGCAGACAGACAGCUCAUUGGUCUCUUACAGGCUCUUCUGGCCUUUUCCUAAAUAUGCUCUCCAGUGCCAUAAAUUUCUACUUUUGUCCAGAGAUUCCUUUUUCUUGGAAUAUGUACCCCACCCCUUCCUUUAAGCUCAGCUCAAUUCCAUCUCCUUCAAGAUGCCUUUCUAGAUUCUCCAAGGAAUAUGAAUUUCCUUCCUCCAUGAUUCCCUGUGUUCUUUCGUAAUACUUAUUAAUGGAUCCCUGUCCUCUCUACCCAAGUACACACACAGGCACAUCCUAAAAUGUAGCUUCCAGAAGGCAAAUAUCAUCCCAGGCUCACUGUGGUCCUUCACCAUAAGAUAGUGCUCUAGGGCAGUAAAUGCUCUGUGCAUUUGCAAAUUUUAGUAAAACCUCUGCGGCUGGUGGAAGAGUUUUGUUUUGUUUGUUUAAGCAGACAGGAUCACGUGGUGCCUUUUAUAUUAUCAUAUAGGACUGGUCCAUUUAUAUAGAGCAAGGGUCCCCCAAGAUUCCUUGUUCAUCAAAAUCUGAAUGACUAAACCAGGCACUGUGCUAAAGGGCCGGAGCACCACGUACCCUGUGGAACUAUCAAAUGUCACCCACUAGGACAGCUGCAAACCACAUAUAGAGUGUACCUACUACGUACCAGACUUUGGGCAGGUGAUCGACAUCAGCCUGAGCCUCUGGCCAGUCCUUCACUUUCUAGGACUUCUUCCCUUUCAGGGAAAUUUGGCCUCCCAGCAUCUGGGGAACAAGCUGCUUAUUUGCUAAUAUCUGUUUGCACAUCAGGGUUUUUUACUUUUAGGAACAGUUUGUCUCUCUGGCAGAUCUCCGUGUUCCCAUACCGUUGUUUAUGAUGUAACUAAGCAUCUAUCGUAUAGAAUUGAACUCAAUUCUCUUUUGAAACUGCAAGAGAUCUAACCCGCUCAUUUUCUUUCCAUUUAACAUACGAGAGGGGUGUGUAGGAGCAGUUUAUUAAGGGGGAGCUGUUUAUUGAGGGAUCCUGGGGCUAAUCCCAGCCCAUUAUUUCUCCAUUUCCUUACAGCUCACUGAGAAGGGUGGGAGAGAACAGGAACGGGGAGACUAUUCUUUCCUGAGUGAUUGUUUGGCCAGUCCACAGGGAUCCUGACUUUCCUACACCCAUCAGGGAAGUAGCAUCCAGAGGGUCAUUCCAGGGACAGGGCUGGCUGUGUCAGGCUGUAAUGAAUGGUUCAGACUGAGAAGUGGAACUUGGCCAACAACAGGGAAAGACAAUAAUCAUUGGAAAAUUUAGGCAUUGAGAAUAAGAUCCAUGUCUGUCUUAUGUCCCCUGGGUACCAACACAAUGACUUGGCUUAGUAACUGCCCCAUAAUGUUUAAAUUAUGUUCAGUGAAUGAGUGAAUGAAUGGAUGCCGUAUUCUUGCUUCCUUCUCCAAACACUCUUUAUAAAAUUACGGCAUCUCAUUCAUGUCUCCUCUAUAAAUCGGGAAUUUGGUGAGGCAUGCUGUUUAUUGCUUAGGAAUCAUUUUACUUAAUCACAAAGGUCCCAGGGGUUCAGGCGGGGAAAAAAAAAAAAAA
rnacentral:lncRNA from 1 species